CGAUUGGAUCUAGGCGCGUUCCCUUCGCUCGCAGUCAAAUCCAUCCACUACCUCAGUAGAGACUUGUCCCUGUUUUCUUUUCGUUGCGGGAGAAUAGAAUUUUUUGUUUUUUUUUUCUUUUUUUUUUUUUUUUUUUGUUUUUCCAAAGAAAAGAUGAAGAAAGAAGAUGAAACGAAAAGAUGGCGAACGCACGACAGAACACUCGUCUUCCGUAUCAGCAAGCGGCUCUCCUCGGUAUCGACAAUAAUAAACGGCGAGCGUGUCGGCGCUCGUAAAUGCCGAAUCGUGCGAGUGCACUCGUCUCCGCGUGGCUUUACGGUGAUUAUAAAGUCGGAUUAACGACGCCGUAAACGCGGCUAAACCUUUCGCGAAUAGUUCGCCGGUCGGGAACGUUUCGUUCGAGUUCUUAGGGGGGAAUGCAAAUAAACCGUCUCUGAAAUUCUCUUGCCUACCGGAAUAAAGGGAAUCUCCUCCGCAAAGUCUCUUUCGGCUUUCGGAUAUCCUGGCUAUAGAGAUCUUGGUGGCUCGAGCGAGCAGUGCUAAAGUCGAGAACGUCGUCGAACCGUGUCUCUUUUCAAAAAAGACUCGCGAAUAAUUAUAAUUGUACAUGGUCCUGCUCAAUACCGAUCUGGAAUCUUCGUUCCAUUCGUUUCUUCUUCUUCUUCUCAAUUUAAUCGCAUUGUGACAUACAAGAUUGGCGAACGUUGUUCUGUCGUGCGUUAUUAAUUUUUGAUCAUUGAUCACUGAUGAUUGAAGUUUGUAUGUAACGAUAGAGGAAUCAGUUUUUUCUUUUUCUUUUCCUCUCGAAAAAUUAAAAAUUUUUCGAGCAAGGGAGCGAUCUACCAUCUCAGAUCCACUCUGAAAAAUUGACACGAUUACACGAUGCAUUGUUGUAAAUGUAAUAACAAACUCAGGAAAUCUGAAGCAACCAGGCCGUGAUACUAUUACUUAUAGAAAAUACUACUACUGCUACUGCUACUACUACUACUACUACUACUACUAUUACUACUACUACUACUACUACUACUACUAUUACUAUUACUACUACUACUAUUACUACUACUACUACUACUACUACUACUACUACUACUACUACUACUACUACUAUUAUUACUACAGGUGUGAUUCUUGCGUUAAACGGACGCUCGGAUGAUUCACGAGCCAGCGUCUAUUCUGUUUUGUUUCGUUUGUUUAUUUGUUUCUUGUUUGUUACGAGAUUUUACUCUGGCAAGUGGCAAGGUGUGUGCACACACCGCGUGUCUGCGAAUCUGCAGCGUGUGCCCCGUGAAAUCGAUUGGAGCCGUUCCGUUCGCGAAAAAGAAAGGCCGUAAACGAACUAUAUAUAUAUAUAUAUAUAUACACACACACCACACGAUUAAUCAUAUUAUAUAAUAAUUAUAUUAUUAUCCAAAUUGAUGCAUCUUCGAUUACAAAUUAAUCGCACGUUGUCGCGUUGACGAAUAUCCACGGCUCGAAUUUGUUUCGCGAGCCAUGAUUAUGCGAUUAUUAGACAGGCAAAGGGAUAUUAAAAAAGGAAAAAGAAAAAAAAAAGGGGAAAAAAGAAAUGAUUGUGAAAAAUCACCACAGCUACCUCCAUAAUUAAUUAAAUAUCAGUCUUCUUCUCGCGCUAUGUUCACGCUCAUGAUUACCUAAAGCAUAUAGUGACGUUACUUUUACGAUGAGAUACGUUCAGGGGGGAGGGGGAGGGGGAGGGGGGGGAGGGAGGGCGAGUAAUUCGUCAUCUCGACGAAACCAUUGCAUCUCCGCAUAGCGAGAUAUAUUAUUAUAAUAUAAUAAUUAUGUAUACACAACGUUUAUUAUACACAUAGUCAGAAGCGCGGGAUGAUGAUAUAGCCUCCACGGAUUAUAUAGGUUUAAGGAUUUGCCUCCUUCCGCGGAACAGUCGAGCCGGCAAUGGAACAAUACAAUAAGAAUAAGAAUAAAGAAAAAAGAAAAAAAAAAAGAGGUGUAGAGAAUUUCGUCGAACGUCGGUCGCGUUUUCGAUGUGGAAAUUAUAUUUUAGAUUACUGCUCAAAAUAAUUCGAAGAUUAAUAGAUUUCUUCUUAGGUGAUAAUAACGAGAUAGAGGAUGAACGCGUUUCAAUUGCGAGGAUUGCGAACACUGCUCAAACUAUUUCGUUUCUGUACGAAUACACACACACACACACACACACACAGACUUAGGUAAAUCGAAUGAAAUAGUCAUAGUAAGUUAUUAUUAUUAUUAUUUUUAUUAAAUUUCUGUCUGUAAAGAUGGCGAUAUUCGAAUAUCUUCGAAAUUGUGGCGUGUAGUAAGAAAGUUGAGUCAUAGACCAAAGUGUUAUCCACCAUGUUGCUUUUUCGUUGCUGCUUACAACGAUCGGGAUAGAUCUAUUCACAGAAUGCAAUAUUUUUUUUUUUUUCUCUCUCUUUACCGGAAAAAUAUCUCUACAAUGUCGAGGAUGUUUGAAGUUGUUAGCACUCGAAACACAAAUAUAUAGAACACACAAAGAGAUAGAAUUCUUCUCUGAUUACUUUGAGCGGCGUGGUAAAAGAUGGAAAAGAUAGAAAAAAAAAAAAAAAAAAACGAAACUUGUAUCUGGUCGGAGAUUACAAUGGAGCUACCUCAGUUUUACAGAUAUAUAAUGUAAUGUUGACAUAGAACGCGCACUCGAGCCGCAUUUUUCUCGCUGAAAAUGGACAAGAAAUACUAUUUCACUGCCAAGCGUGCCAUGCUCGAUUGUUCCGCGUGCGACAGUGCUGAAUUCCAAAAUCACAAUGCAAUACGUUGUACUUACAGUCGUUUUUACGCGUUGACUCGUCGAUAUAUACCGGUUAGUGAUUUUACUGCUGCAUACAGAGAGAGAGAAAGAGAGAGAGAGAGAGAGAGAGAGAGAGAGAGAGAGAGAGAGAGAGAGAGAGAGAGAAGAGAGAGAAAUCGAGGAAAAAAAAUACAUUUUUUUUUCGCGUGAAUGCGUUAAUGCGUGAUACACGAUGUGUUACACCGCGCGCAAGACAGGUGAAAAUGUGGAGAUUUUUUAAAUGCAUGACAGAGAGGGAAGAGUGUUGAAGUGAGAAAGAAUGCGAGAUGACCGUGUAAGAAGAAGAAGAAGAAGAAGAAAAAGAAGAAGAAGAAGAAGAAGAAAAAAUACGUUCGGAUGGCCUCCUAUUAUUAUAUUAUAUGCAUAUAAUUAUAUAUAUUAUUAGAAAGUGAGAAGAAAAGAGGAAAAAUAUAAAAUAUACCUAUCUACGUGAUAUUUUACAGAGAACAUAAUCAGGGACGCGUCGUAACCAUAGGCGUAUAAUUAUUAUAUUAUAUAUUAUAUAAUAGAGUCUCUUUCUAGUGAUAGAAAAAAAGGAAAAAGGAAAAAAAAAACCAUAAACCACUCUUAACUUAUUUUGUAACUCAUCGUCGGAUCUGAGGAAGAGGAACACGGUCGCGUGACGAAACCAAUGAGCGUGCAAUUCUCGACGUACGGCGUGAUCAAAUUUCAACAUAUUUUUCGAAACAAUACAACGAUGAUAGAGAAAAUGAUCGAUCGUGACAGGUUUCCACCGUUUCUUACAAAAUCUCCAUAAAAUUUUAAAUUCGCGAUUCUCACGGAGGGAACUUUUGAUGGAAACGACGUUUAAUCUUUAAGCAUCAUUGUCGUUCAAAAGUUCAUCAUUAUAAUUAAUACUCGAGCCACGAGCCACGUUGAAACGAAAAACUUGGCUUUAAUUUUCAUGGCGUGGCCACGAUCUCGAUCGUUUUUUUCUUUUAUCCAGCGGAUAAAUCUGGAUCCAUUUUCCAUCACGAUUUCCUCCAUGAGACGGAUAACUCUCGUGUUUCUUUUUUUUGUUUUUUUUUUUUUUUCUUUUUUUUUCCUUUUCGUCGUUUAUUAAUUUCGAAUAAUCAUACAUGGCAUACGGGGGCCAGGGUGAAACCACACCGUUUUUGCCUGCGAAACGUAUUAUCGAUUUGCUUGUUAUAUCGUUAUCGCCGCCUUGCUGAACCGGCGCGAUUCUCCCAUUAAUCGUAACGCUAGCCAUCGGCGUAGUUUGCAUAUUGAUCGUACAGAAAGAGAAAUAAGAAGAGAGAGGAAGAAGUGGAAGAGAUUGAAAAAAGUGAGGAAAGAAAAGAAAAGAAGGAAGAACGCGGGCGAACGUUGUCGGAAAGAAAAAUAAAAAAUAAAAAAAAAAUGUUGUAAAAAUUUGCGAGAAUUUCGAGCAUAUCCGUAUAUAAGAGCGAAGAGUUUCGAAGAGUGGUGGGAAGAAAAAGGGAGUAAAAGGAAGAAAAAGAAUAAUGAUAGAGAGAAUGGUUUAUGAGAGAGUGAGAGAAAGAAAGAGAGAGAGAGAGAGAGAGAGCGUGAGAGAAUUACCGAUCAUCAUGGGCCCCGUCAUCGAGACGCAACGCCACCUCGUUCUUUACUUAACGGUUAACUAUCAUUAAGGUGCUUCAAUAUUGUUACGUUACGUUUUUUUUAUUACCGUCAUUUAAUAUUAAUGUUAUUAUUAUUAUUGUCAUUAUCAUUUCAUUAUUAUUAGCUUCGCUAGAUCGUGUUUAUUAGAAAGGAUGAUGUACAUCUGUCUCCUGGCAGGGAAUCGAGGAAAAAAAAAAGAUACGAGGAAAACGAGAUCGCGUUAUUUCGUGGGCAUUGAAAGAAAGGGGGGAAAAAAGGAAAAAAAAAAAGAAGAAAAGAAAAAGAAAAA